AUUUUUUUAUUUAAAUUAUUUUUUUUUUUUAUUAAUAAUAAUAAUUUAAAAAAAAGUUAUAUCCCCCCCCCUCCCUUCUUACCUUUAGCCUGGGAGGGGGGGGGGGAACCGUUUUGCCUGGGACGGGGGGGAGCCAUGCUGGCUGAUCCCUGGUGGUCCUAGUGGUGAGCGUGAACUCUA